rnacentral:rRNA from 1 species
ACGUAGGACCCAAGCGUUGUCCGGAAUUACUGGGUGUAAAGGGUGCGCAGGCGGGCUUGUGCGUCAGAGGUUAAAUCUCCCGGCUCAACCGGGAACAUGCCUUUGAUACGGCAAGUCUUGAAUACGAGAGAGGAUGGUAGAAUUCCUGGUGUAGCGGUGAAAUGCGUAGAUAUCAGGAGGAAUACCAGUGGCGAAGGCGGCCAUCUGGCUCGUUAUUGACGCUCAGGCACGAAAGCGUGGGGAGCAAACAG